rnacentral:rRNA from 1 species
GACGAACGCUGGCGGCGUGCCUAAUACAUGCAAGUAGAACGCUGAAGGAGGAGCUUGCUUCUCUGGAUGAGUUGCGAACGGGUGAGUAACGCGUAGGUAACCUGCCUGGUAGCGGGGGAUAACUAUUGGAAACGAUAGCUAAUACCGCAUAACAGUAGAUAUCGCAUGAUAUCUACUUGAAAGGUGCAAUUGCAUCACUACCAGAUGGACCUGCGUUGUAUUAGCUAGUUGGUGAGGUAACGGCUCACCAAGGCGACGAUACAUAGCCGACCUGAGAGGGUGAUCGGCCACACUGGGACUGAGACACGGCCCAGACUCCUACGGGAGGCAGCAGUAGGGAAUCUUCGGCAAUGGACGGAAGUCUGACCGAGCAACGCCGCGUGAGUGAAGAAGGUUUUCGGAUCGUAAAGCUCUGUUGUAAGAGAAGAACGAGUGUGCGAGUGGAAAGUUCACACUGUGACGGUAUCUUACCAGAAAGGGACGGCUAACUACGUG